rnacentral:rRNA from 1 species
AUUGAACGCUGGCGGCAGGCCUAACACAUGCAAGUCGAACGCGUGGCGGGCGGGUGAGUAAUGUCUGGAACACUGCCUUAUGGAGGGGGAUAACUACUGAAAACGGUAGCUAAUACCGCAUACCAUCGGAUGUUCCCAGAUGGGAUUAGCUAGUAGGUGGGGUAAAGGCUAACCUAGGCCACGAUCCCUAGCUGGUCUGAGAGGAUGACCGGCCACACUGGAACUGAGACACGGGCCAGACUCCUACGGGAGGCAGCAGUGGGGAAUAUUGCGCAAUGGGCGAAAGCCUGAUGAAGCAAUGCCGCGUGUAUGAAGAAGGCCUUCGGGUUGUAAAGUACUUUCAGCAGGGAGGCGUUACCCGCAGAGGAAGCCCCGGCUAACUACGUGCCAGCAGCCGCGGUAAUUC